UGUGGGCACUACACCGUUCUCUACGUGGGCGUGCACACGGCGUAUCAGCUCCUUUGUAUUUUGGUGGAUUCGAGUCGACCUGUGUGGCACGUUUUCCCACAUACAGCAGCUCGGGUCCUCGGCCUUAUCGUUUUACCCAUUGCAGUGUAUUUAUCGACUUUCGUCAUUCACUUUUGGGUGCUCACUAAUUGGAGCGUCAAUGGCGGCGGCUUCUACCCGACGAAAUUCUUUGCAGCUUUUUCCAACACAGAAUACGACAAUGCGACUUUCCCCGAACACAUCCACUACGGCGCCAACAUCACCAUCCAAAGCAGCCGACCCAUUUGCGGGUAUCUCGAGUCGUGGUAUGACCUCUUCCCCUCAGAGUUCACGGCGCCUUGCCAACAGGUCACCACAUCCACCAUCAGGGACGACGAGGGCUG